rnacentral:rRNA from 1 species
CAGCAGCCGCGGGAAUACGGAGGGUGCAAGCGUUAAUCGGAAUUACUGGGCGUAAAGCGCACGCAGGCGGUCUGUCAAGUCGGAUGUGAAAUCCCCGGGCUCAACCUGGGAACUGCAUUCGAAACUGGCAGGCUAGAGUCUUGUAGAGGGGUGUAGAAUUCCAGGUGUAGCGGUGAAAUGCGUAGAGAUCUGGAGGAAUACCGGUGGCGAAGGCGGCCCCCUGGACAAAGACUGACGCUCAGGUGCGAAAGCGUGGGGAGCAAACAGGAUUAGAUACCCCGGUAGUCCCUGUCUCUUAUAC